UAAACUUUGUAUGGGAUCUUGUCGCCCCAUCGCGUUUGGUGUGAACGCACAAUGCGAUUCUUCCUCGGCGGCGACAUGUUUGCUGCGUUCUGAACCAAAUCAAAGCAGCGUGUGUGUGACGUCACGACGCAUUUACCGCGACCGGAACCGAUAAGCAGAAUCGUUAAGCAGGCUUGCUAACGAUUCCAAGGAAUCGGUUGACUCAGAACCGGUUCUGAACAAGAACCGGUUCUCGAUUCCCAUCCCUACAGGACGCAUGCGCUUCGUUGUCCGCCAAAACUCAAGAAGAUUACAACGGCGGUCAGGUGUAAUGGAGGAAUGAGCAGCUAAAUUAUCUUGAAGCCCAAAGCAGCAACUUUCUGCAGUUGACAGUGCCCUCUCAAGCAGCAACUACAGCAAGCUGUGUCACAAGCAAAGCCAUCUGGCUAUUCAGCCACCACCGGGAAAGUUCUCCUGCGACAGUAUUGGAUACGAACGGCUAAUGCAAGAUUCAAACAAGGAGGAAGGAGGGAAGGAAUGGGGGGGGGCGAAAUAUCGCACUUUUUAGUGUCAAGAUGCUCUGAUUUUUGUAGGAUAUUCAUGAUACAGAAACAGACGUUUAGAAUCUCAGGGCAAAACACUGUUCUUUAAGUCGAAAUGUUCGAAUAAUAAGCAUGUCUUUUAAGAUGCACUAAAGGUUCCUGAAGCAUGUCAAAUGUUUUUUUCGAGAGGUUAAGGUUAAAAAGGAUCCAAAAGAUACGUAUGCUCUAUGCAAACAGUUCCUGAACUUGUCAUUGUGUCUUUAACAAACUACCUUAGACCCAUUUUAGCCACCCUAAGAUGUUUUGAAAAAAACAUCACAAAAUUGUGUUUUGGCUUUGUUAAAAUAAAUAAAUAAUAAUAAAAAUCUUCUUAGGGUGAACUAUAUACCUUUUUGUU